UACGUAGGGCGCAAGCGUUGUCCGGAAUUAUUGGGCGUAAAGAGCUCGUAGGCGGCUUGUCACGUCGGUUGUGAAAGCCCGGGGCUUAACCCCGGGUCUGCAGUCGAUACGGGCAGGCUAGAGUGUGGUAGGGGAGAUCGGAAUUCCUGGUGUAGCGGUGAAAUGCGCAGAUAUCAGGAGGAACACCGGUGGCGAAGGCGGAUCUCUGGGCCAUUACUGACGCUGAGGAGCGAAGGCGUGGGGAGCGAACAGG
rnacentral:rRNA from 1 species